CCAAUGCAUCUAUAUGAAUUUCAUGUAUUUUAUUCCUAGAAUUGAAGUUGAGCAUAUAUCUCUCUGACAUUUCCCCCAUGACAAUCUCCUUCUGUUGGUAGCUUUCAUGCACUACGUAGAUGCUUCUUAUAUUACUAACUUUAAAAUUUGGGUACAAUUGUUAAUGUCUUUGAUGCUUACAUUAACAUUGUACGUUUGACUUGCAGCUACUUUUAUGUUCCUGCCAGUGCCACUCAAUUAUUUAGUCAGCUCAAAUGUUGUAGGCAAAAGAAAUCCAUUGGCUGACUGCAGUCUUCAAGUCUUGCUUAUACUUAAUUAUUACCAUAAAUGCAUGGUUGGUGACGACCCUAUAACAGACACAAGUGAUGACAGUGCUGCGUCAGAUUCUCUUCCCAAAGCAAAUACAUAUUUCUCUGACCUUCCUUACUCCAAAGCAUUAGAAAAUGCAAGGAAUAUUGAACUACCUUCUUUGCAGUCGAUUGUGUAGAUAUUGAGGGGAAAACACACAAUGGGUGGCUUGUGAGAUUACCAUUUGCAUCUCUAUUUGAUACUCUUGGCAUGUGCUUGUGUGAUGAAACUAGAGUCCUAUUACUUCACACAUUGAUGCAUGGAAAUUCUGACUGUUUGGAGUAUGUUUUAGUGCGAACAGAUAUGGAUAUAUUGCUGAUGCCCAUUCCAGAGACAAUAUACAGUACUUCAAAGAGAACGUUGAAUCAUAUAUACAUCUCGUUGAUUAUACUAAUUAUACUGAGUCAAGAUUCUUCUUUUAAUGCAAGCAUUCACAAGAUGGUAAGGAUAAAUUCUGUUGCUCAAUGUUUGACUUAUUGUCAAGGAUUGUAUUAUAUUUCUUUAUUUUCUGCCAAUUCCUCCAGAUACUGCCUUGUGUUCCAUGGUAUCAAGAGCACCUUCUUCAUUAGACAUCUCUUGGUUCCCUAAUGGUCAUAAUUCUUAUAAGGAUUAUGAAAUAUAACCUGUCUAAGCUGAGGGUAUGACAAUUUAUAUCUUGAUAUGGUGGAUGUCGAUCAUGUUCUCAUAUAAGAAGUACAUAAGUUUCAGAGGUUGAAUUCUUGUUAGGUAAAUUUACAUAGCUCUUUGAAACUCUAAAUUUUAUGACAGGAUCUCUAUCUACAUUCAACUUGUCUAGCAACUUUGGCAAACGUGGCUCCUCAUGUCCACUGUUUGAGUGCUUAUGCAUCACAGAGACUAGUUAGCCUUUUCUAGAUGCUGUCUCGCAAGCAUGUUACUUCUGUUUGGCUUCUUUUUCUGCACUUUUACCAAUCAUGAUGACUUCUUCACUCUGUUGUUGCUUUUCAUUUUCUGGCACUAUCCUUUCACUGUUUCUUCAAAGUGAUGUUGCAUUUUCAGGUACAACAAGCUUGCAGAAAGGAUAGAUGACAAGAUAGGAAAGAGUGGUUUAGUUGAUGGCAGCGUUGCUGAAGAUCUUGUAGUCAUUUUGAUCAUUUAUGUGAUUUGGUAUUAUCAAAGUAGUUUUAAUAUGCUACUUGGAUCUCCCCUUAUGUUCUUUCCUAUUAAACUUGCUGGAUUAUUUUUUCUCGUAGUCUGCUGAGUUGCACAUUUACAUUGACUCCCUGAGAAUCGUCCUUGAAAUAUUAAAUGCAAUUUUGGCUUACGCACUGCCAUGCAAUCUGAGGUUGUUUAUGCUAUAAUGCACAGGCAGGAGGUUUUUCAGCCAUUCAAGAACCACCCACGCUUCAAUGAAUUGACUGAAAAUAUUUGCAUGGUUUUAGAUUUUUUCAAUAGUCGCAUAGAUGGACACGCUGAAGAUGGGGAAUGGUCAGUAGAGAAAGUCCUCCAGCUUGUAAUUAUUAAUUGUCGACUAUGGCGAGGUGAAGGAAUGAAGUUGAAAGCAAAAUCAUUUUGGAAAUUAGCAGUUUUGCCUGACUUGAGAAUCUGGAUGUAUUAUAUUUAGGGAUUACAUUUGUCAUUUUUAUGAAAUUCAGAUGAUUUUAUUUGGACGGAUGUUAACUCAAUUACAUUUCUCAUAUGAAGAAGAGACUCAUCCAGAGGAGUUCUUCACUCCAUACAUUUGGCGGUUGGCUUUGACCUACUGGUAAUUUUUCCUGCAUCUCCUUCCUUCCUUCUCUUUCACCCCAAACCCAAAACAGGAAAAUAAAUAAAUAAAUAAAGGAGAAAACAAAAUUCAGAUAUUUUGUGUGCUUAUGACUCAAACUUUAUUUGAUUGUAAUCUGCCAUUUUCCCUAUAUGCUUGUUGGCAAUAGUUGUUGCAAUUACUAUUUUGCUUAGUACGUAUGGUUCCUAUUACAUCACUAAUGCCGAUGUUUUGCUGUGUGCUUGUUCUUCAGUGGAUUCAGCUUUUAUCCCGGUACCAUAAAUUUGUUUCCUGCUGACUUAUCAGUGGAAGUAAGUGUCUAGAUCUGCUUUAUAUUCUUUAGAAGGAAGAAAUCUUGAAGUUCUAGUUCACUUUUUGUUGCAUUGCCACAACUUGUAUACUUACUGCACUUAGUUUCAGUCAUUGAGCCACUAUAAAAAAGAUGUGAAUCCUUGUGGAAGCAGCAAAUGUGAGUCCUUAUUUUUGUCCCAUUACUGAAUUGUUGUUGCAGCAAAUGUCCAAAUUUGUGCAGGAUUUUUGGAUUGCAUUAAUAAAAAAUGGGCUGGAUGUGGUUCCCAAUUCUGUUGAUUCUUUCUUCCAAUCAUUUGAAAACCAGCUUUAAUCCAUUGAAAGAAUAAACUAAAAUUUGUGAAAUCAACACCUGCUCGCAGAGACAAAUCAUGAGAUCUUGACAGGUGCUCGGUGAAAUUGUACAAGAUAGCAGGUGGAGCAGCUGGAACCCCUAGUUAUUGAAUUAGGUGUCAAACAGAAAAGGGACUUGUCCUGGGUAAGUUCAAGAAUGAUAAUAGUGUAAUUUUCUAAACUUGACAUCAGAGUGAAGGGUACAUGAGGCGUUAUUAUAUUUGUGGUCAAGUAAUUUUCAUUUUCUUUUUGGUGAAGUAAUUCCUCGCUGCUAUGUGUAGACCAUGUUGCCAUCUCAGGCACUUGUGCUCAAUUCGCCUCAGCUGCUUCACUAUAGAAAUUUAGAAUACCGAAAAAUAUAAGAGUAUAAACUCAUAGCAGCACUGUGCAAUGAACUAAAAUUUCUCAAGCGACUAAUGGAAGAUGGGUUGCUAAAAGAAUAGAGCUGCCUCCCCAGCAUGGGCCACCGGAAACAACUAGGAUGGUUUUGUGUAUAUCUGUUUACUUAUGAAAUCCGUUUCUUGGCAGCUGUAAGCCAAGUAGUCAUUGUGGGCCUAAUCAUAUUAUCGUUAAUUUUUUUAACACCAAGGGAAUGGUGUAAUUGUGAACCUAUAAUCCGAACCAGGAAUUACCUCCAGAAGCUAAGCAGACCUCAAUUAUUUUGAUUUGUGUGUGUUAAUUGUUCCUGUCGUCACUCGUCUGUGAUGUUAUUUCUUUACAGUGAGCUAUUUUGCUGCAGAACUAAAUGACUUUGGGCGGUGGGGUUGUCCGGGGGAGUUUGACAAGCAUCAAAAUGGAAAGUUGGAUCAACAUGCGUUGCUUGACGUGUAUUGUUGCAGUGAAAUGCAUCCGGCCAAAGAUACGUUUCAUACUCCAUUGUUCUGUAUAAGUGGAAAAGGGUAUUUGUCUCAUUCUUUCCUGUUUAUAUGCUUGGAAAAUUGUAGAGGACUCAAAAAUGUAUUAAUAAGAAUGCAAUUCCAGUUUACAGAUUCUAC